AGAUAACAAAAUACAGUAUGUUGAAAUGAGAAAGGAGAUAGAUUUAGAAAAAAAAUAAUGAAGAGUGAAAACGAAAUAAUUAAAAAUUGAAAUUUAUCAUCACUCAUUUGUUUUAAUCACAAUAAAACUACAAAAGGGCGAACAAUAGCCAAGUAAUAUAGAUCAACAAUAGUAAAGCAAUUACAAGUAUGAAUAUAUGCAGGGAGCUUGACUGUUAUGACCAAUAAAUCUCUAACCAUAAAAGUAAUUAUACACACAGUGUCCGUGGAAAGGAUCUAAACAAUCCGUGCUCGUGGUGCCAUUAUCUCAGUUGUGUUGCUACUUCCAUAUGGAGCUGCAACAGGUUGCUCAUCUCGUGUCAGGUCAGAAUUCCUUAAUCAUUUCAUAUGAUCGUAUCUCUAUCACUAUGCAUGCCUAAUUGCAAUAUGUUGUUGAAAUUGUGCAGGCUGCAGAAACAGGGAAUCAGUACACAUUCACAUGCUUAGGCAGCAGCAGCAAAAGCAAAUACAUAAAUACACACACCCACAAAUAUUUUUAUCUUUAUCUUCACCUUCUGAUUAAAAAUAAAUAAAGGAUACCAAGUUUAUUAAAUUCAAAACUGGUGCAUCAAUCCCAUUUCAUGAAAGAACUUGAAAAUCCAUAAAAAUCAAAACUUGACCACACACAUACACACAAACACAAAGACAUAAGAAUAAGUGCUUGUAACUACUUUUUGUCCAGUCUAAGAUAGUCAGCUAAAAUGAUGAUUCUUAUGCUUAUACGCAUAUAACAGAUAAUGUUUUUCGUGUGUGUUUGUAUGUGAGAAAAGUAGGAAAUAAAGGAUAGUGGCUAUAUAUGAGCAAUGACAACAACAAAUUGGUUCUCUAACACUGAAAAAGGUGUAAAUUGGAAGCUAUUGAAAAAUAGUUUAUUCAAUACAGUAAAGAGCAAAGAUACUUAUGACACCAUCAAUUUUUUAGCUCUACCAUGGCAUUCUUUCAUUUCUAGGAAUUAAAUAAGCUUGCAAUAAGAUUAGAAAGAAACAAACAUCCUGUUAAAUUCACAAUUUCAAUUCAAAGUAAUUAACUUUACAAAAUAAGCCAUCUUCUCAAGUUGCAAAGGAAACAUGUGAAGAAGCUUAUUCAUAAUCAAAGAAAUCCACAACUAAACAUAAAUCUAGCUUCCAUCCAAUAUUAUUUGGAUCCAAAUGGAGCCUCAUCAGUAUGUAGGCAUGGAGAGGUGGAUCAAUUUCUAGUUGAGUAAAACAACAACACAAAUGUAUGAGAAAUGAAUUCAAGGCCUCUAAUGACAACCCGUGAAAAGAAGAUGGCAAAGUAUAAUGAUUACUCAAUAAAUACCUUUCGAGACAUUGAUACUCAGAAUCUCAAUGCCUCUAAGGACAACCCAUGAACAUACGCAUUCAGGUACCUAUGAAGCAAAUGCAAUAACUAUAAGAAAAUUAAGCAAUAAAAGACAUAAAUCAAAAUGAUUUGGAUAAUCGCAUAAAGAAUUCAUCGAAGAUAAUAGAAAUAAAAAAUAUUUGGAGUAAACUCAAAAAUCACUUAGAGAACAUGAAUGCAAUAUUCCAAUAACUCAACGGUCACUCACAUAAUAUUUAGAUCAAUAGAGUGAAAAUUCCACAUCAAAUAAUAUGAAAACUGCUUAUAUUCAAACUGCUGAAUUUUACGGCUAAUAAUUACAAAUUAUAAGCACAUAAGAACCAAUCAUUAGAGGGACAUAUGGACACUUCAAGGAGCAAAAUACAUAAAACACAAUUCGUUCAACUUUAUGCUCUAAAAAUCAUUAAAACAUAAACACAUAAAACACAAUUCGUUCAACUUUAUGCUCCAAAAAUCAUUAAAGCAUAAGUCCAACAGUUCUGCGUAAAGAGUGAAACACCUCUAAAAAGAGCAUUGAAAUAAAAGAGAUAAUAUAACCUUCGAACCAUAGGUGCCGCUGGUGCAGAGAAAUACACAACCGCAACACCCUUCCAAACGGUGAAUCCGCCGCACGUGGAGGGCUGCAUCGGUCCAGGAGUUCUACGUUCCAGUAUUUCAAGAUGAUAAACAUUGAAAUUAGUACCAGCACUUUUAGAAACACUGUUUUAAUUUCCGAUGCAGUGGUCAUCAGUGUAUUGAUUGAUAGAAUAGAAACAGAGAUAGAGGAAGAAACUGAUUGCUUUUGCUUUUACCGUUUUGGGCGACACUGGUUUGAGGCGAUGACGCUAGGGCGGCGAUUGACGAUCGAGAAUCGAGAAAUGGCAGUCGAGUCUUCGAUUGAGUUUGGUGAGCGAUGGAACGGUGAGGAGCGGUUAUGAAAUCUGGAAUAGAGAAGAGAGUUGAUGAAAUGGGUUUAAGAUAUUGGGAAAAUUUCCUUAAAAUCAUGGGAGAAUAAUCGAAUAAUAAAGAAACAGAGAGAGACAUGAAGAAACUGGUUGGUUUUUCUUUUACCGUUUUGGGCGACGUUGGUCUGAGGCGGCGGCGCUAGGCCGGCGGUUGGUGACCGAGUCUGGUGAGCGAAGGAACAGUGGCCGAGUCUUUGAUAUUGAGUUUGGUGAGUAAUGGAAAGGCGAUGGACGGUUAUGGAGAUAAGAGAGUUUGAGGAAAAGGAUUUCGGAUAUUGGGGAUUUUUCAUUAAAAUCGAGAAUUUGAUGUACACAUACGUGGUGUGAUAUUAUGUGCUGAAUGGUGGAGGUGGGUUAGUGGAGACAGUUCUCUGUAAAUUAAAUUGAAUUAAUCUAUUGUAAUUAAUGGGUUAAUGGUAGGUUAGUGG
rnacentral:lncRNA from 1 species